rnacentral:antisense_RNA from 1 species
GGGGCUCCUAGAAUCCACUCUCCCCAAAGGCGAGUUUCCCAGGCGCCGCUCGUGCUGUUGCUGGAAAGCGAGCUCGCUGUAGACCGGCCGCGACACCACGUAGCUGCAGCUGUACUCGGGGAGCUGCGGCGGCUCCGACCUGCCGCCUGGCGCUGCCAUGACCUGCGAGCCAGAGGACAGCGAGGAGGGAGGAGACGCGAGACAGGGUUUUGCCAUCUUGCUCAGGCUGGUCUAGGAAAUGACAUUUGAAGAGAGACUAAAGGAUGAGAAAGAGACAGCCUUCCUGGAAGAGGAAACAGCAAAUGCAAAAACUCUGAGUUAGGAAAGAACUUGAUGCACUUGAGAAACAAAAAGAAGGCCGGCAAGACUGAAAUCCACAUAAGUCAGACCCGGGCACAGCAAACUGGACGUCCUCAGUAUAUAUGUGGCAACUGAAACCAGGCAUUUAGGACAUGAUCUCAUUCUGUUGCCCAGGGUGAGUGCAGUGGCACCUUCAUGGCUCAUUGCAGUCUCGAUCUCCCAGGCUCAAGCGAUCCUCCCACCUCAGCCUCCCAAAGUGCUGGGAUUGCAGGCGUGAGCCACCUUGCCCAGCCCAUUCUGCAAUCUUCGGAAGGAAGUCACUAUAUGCAGCCUAUGCUUGAGGAGUGGGGGGUUGAAUUCCACAUCCUUGAGGGUAGAAUACCUAAAUAAAUUAUUUGGAAUUCUUCUGCAAGAGA